AGCGAACGCUGGCGGCAGGCCUAACACAUGCAAGUCGAACGAAGUCUUCGGACUUAGUGGCGGACGGGUGAGUAACACGUGGGAACGUACCUUUUGGUUCGGAACAACUCAGGGAAACUUGAGCUAAUACCGGAUGAGCCCUUAGGGGAAAGAUUUAUCGCCGAAAGAGCGGCCCGCGUUAGAUUAGCUAGUUGGUGAGGUAAAGGCUCACCAAGGCUACGAUCUAUAGCUGGUCUGAGAGGAUGAUCAGCCACACUGGGACUGAGACACGGCCCAGACUCCUACGGGAGGCAGCAGUGGGGAAUCUUGCGCAAUGGGCGAAAGCCUGACGCAGCCAUGCCGCGUGAAUGAUGAAGGUCUUAGGAUAGUAAAAUUCUUUUACCAGGGACGAUAAUGACGGUACCUGGAGAAAAAGCCCCGGCUAACUUCGUGCCAGCCGCCGCAGUAAAAC
rnacentral:rRNA from 1 species